rnacentral:rRNA from 1 species
UACGUAGGGCGCAAGCGUUGUCCGGAAUCAUUGGGCGUAAAGAGCUCGUAGGCGGCCUGUUGCGUCCGCUGUGAAAUCCCGGGGCUUAACCCCGGGCGUGCAGUGGAUACGGGCUGGCUGGAGGCAGGCAGGGGGAGAACGGAAUUCCCGGUGUAGCGGUGAAAUGCGCAGAUAUCGGGAGGAACACCAAUGGCGAAGGCAGCUCGCUGGGACGGUACUGACGCUGAGGCGCGAAAGCGUGGGGAGCAAACAGGG